CCAAAUCCAAGCGGCAAAAUUUCUCUCCCAAAACCUUCUUCCCUCUUCUCUCCCGAGAUCGUCUCAUCCUCAAAUCGCGCACGCGCCAAUAUUUCUCUCCCAAAACCCUUCUUCCCUCUUCUCUUCCAAAUCGCCCCAUCCCCAAAUUGCGCACCCCAUCCCCAAAUCCUGAAAGUCUCUCUCUCUCCAACGUCCCUCCACUCCUCAAUCGAUUGUUCCUCUCUUACUCUCAGUCUCAAUUUUCCUCUCCCUCUCUCUCUAUCUCUUUCGUUGAAGAUGGUCGGUUUGCCGUCCACGCCGACAUCGACGCUGAUAGAGAAAGGGGAAGCUGAAUGAAGCAUAAAUGGUGUUUGACGAAAUGCGUAAGAGAGGGAUAAGUGCUGCUAAUGCAACAUUAGCUGCUUUGGUUUAUGGAGGGGAUAAGAUAGCUUGAUGUGAGUGUUUACCAUGGGCUGAUCAAGGGUUUGUUGAAGCUUAAGAAGGCAAAGGAAGACACUUAAGUGUUUAGAAUAGCACUUGUUUAGCCUAUGUUACUCUAUCCAUGUCGUGUCUCAUAGGCUGAGACUCAACAAUACGGGGCUAAAGAGCUAUAAAGCAUUAAACAAAUACGGGUUUGUUAGUGGUGCUCUAUUUAAUGUAGAAGUUGUCCACAUUCAGGGACUAUUUGGUAGACGCCUAAAUUGAGUUCAUCUCAUAUUCAUCAAUCUUUAUCAUGUAUUAGAGAUCACAAUUCAGGAUUAAAAAGAAUCUCGAUAACUAACAUUCAUUAUCUCUAAUACAUAUUAUGAGUAAAUAAAAUGAGAUGAACUCAUUUUUAAGUGUCUAGCAAACAUCCCUGUAUAUAAUGCAUGAAAAUGUUUCCUUGUUAUUGUUUCUAUACUUCUUUUUUUUUAUUAUUGUUGAAUCUUAAAUUUUUUUAUAUUGAAGCAUGUUUUUAACUUCUUUUUUUUGAGCUGUGCAUUUCUUGUUUGAGCUGCUGGCUACUGAAAAUCUUGUGGUUGCUGGAACAAUGGUGCAGUGUCUGCUUAUUAUCCGCUUGCCUGCUCCUUGCACUAGAGGAGUGCAUGGGGGAAGAAUUUCCAAUCCGCUGAAGUUGCUGUAGAUCUUUAAUCACGUUUCUGGCUCUUGUGCAGCGGUUGCCACUGUUCUGAGUGGCCAAGUGAGUUUAGCUAUCUGUCCUCUGUUCAGGUAUAGGCCUUUUACAGGUUUUGGCUUUUCAGUGUUGUAUAUGUUUACAUUUAGCUAGGUGUGGCAUGGCCCCUUUUUUUGUACUGCCUGUCCUCUAGAGACUCACAAGACAUGUUGAAUCUACUGGUUUUCAAAUAGUCACAAGACCAGAGCUACUUUUAGUCUAGUCCUUAGUAAC